rnacentral:rRNA from 1 species
UACGUAGGCAGCAAGCGUUGUUCGGAGUUACUGGGCGUAAAGGGUGUGUAGGCGGUUGGAUAAGUGUGGUGUGAAAUCUCCCGGCUUAACUGGGAGGGUGCGCUACAAACUGUCUGACUAGAGUGUGGGAUGGGUAAGUGGAAUUCCUGGUGUAGCGGUGAAAUGCGUAGAUAUCAGGAGGAACACCAGCGGCGAAGGCGGCGCUCUGGGCCGGUACUGACACUGAGGAGCGAAAGCGUGGGUAGCAAACAGG